GACGAAGGGGGCUAGCGUUGUUCGGAAUUACUGGGCGUAAAGCGCGUGUAGGCGGUUGCCCAAGUCGGGUGUGAAAGCCUUGAGCUCAACUCAAGAAAUGCAUUCGGUACUGGGUGACUAGAGGACCGGAGAGGAUAGUGGAAUUCCCAGUGUAGUGGUGAAAUGCGUAGAUAUGUGGAGGAACACCGAUGGCGAAGGCAGCCCCCUGGGCUAACACUGACGCUCAUGCACGAAAGCGUGGGGAGCAAACAGG
rnacentral:rRNA from 1 species